AUCGCUUCUCGGCCUUUUGGCUAAGAUCAAGUGUAAACAUGCCAAUCAAAUCAACUUUCAAAAUUUCAGACUUUACUAUAAACUUUGUGAAAUUAUCAAUAUGCAUUUAUGUACUUAAAUUUAUGGCACUUUCUGAUAAUAUGGACUAUAUAAACAAAAAAAUGUCCAGUG
rnacentral:snRNA from 2 species